GCAGAAGACUGCCCCUCCCUGAGCCUGGUUCUGCUGGAGGUUUCUUCCUGUUAAAAGUUACACAGUCUGCCACAAGAUAUUGUGUCUGACCGGGGUCCGCAGUUCGUCUUGCAGUUCUGGAGGGAGUUCUGCCUUCUCCUCAGGUUCACAUCCAGCCUUACCUCAGGAUAUCACCCCCAAGCGAAUGGACAAACUGAACGCCUCAAUCAAGAAUUAGAGAAAGGACUCCGGAUCCUAACUUCACAGUUUCCAUCCUCCUGGUCUUCACAACUACCGUGGAUUGAACUUGCCCAUAACAGUCUCCCCACUUCAACUUCUGGUUUCUCCCAAUUUCAUGUUGUGUUUGGUCAUAAACCAUCUCUGUUUUCCCCUGCAGAUCUGUGAUCACCUGUUCCCUCUGCCCUUGGACUCAUUAUGUGGUGUUGACGAACCUGAGAGCGGACCCGGCGAACUUCAGAAAGCUUCAGGAAAGCGACGGAUCGCAGGAGGUCCUUGGCGCCUCCGGGACAACGGGUCUGGCUGUCAACAUGUCACCUGUCACUACGUGGGGUUCCCAAAAAGAUGACUCCCAGGUGCACUGGCCCAUUCCCCAUUUCUAAUAUCAUUAAUCCUGUUUCUGUCCGUCUUCGCCUUCCAAGAUCCAUGAAGAUACAUCCCAUAUUCCAUGUGAGCCAUCUGAAAUGUGCCAAGAUGAGCCCUUUGUUUCAGAAUCUGCAUUUUAGUUUAGAACAAACUACAGAGCUGUGUUUCUGCAUCCUGCACUAGUGUCCAGCCUGCUGUGCCAUUCAAACCUGAUACUAAGUAUUCAUUAAUUUCUUUUUAAAUAAAUUUUGUAAACUCUG